UGAUGUCAAGAGGCAGCAAUGAAACCAUC
rnacentral:piRNA from 1 species